GUCUACGGCCAUGCCACUCUGAAUGAGCCCGAUCUCGUCUGAUCCUGGAAGCUAAGCAGGGUCGGGCCUGGUUAGUACUUGGAUAUGAGACCACCUAGGAAUACCAGGUGCUGUAGGCG
rnacentral:rRNA from 1 species